rnacentral:rRNA from 1 species
AUUGAACGCUGGCGGCAUGCCUUACACAUGCAAGUCGAACGGCAGCACGGACUUCGGUCUGGUGGCGAGUGGCGAACGGGUGAGUAAUAUAUCGGAACAUACCCAGUAGUGGGGGAUAACUAUCCGAAAGGAUAGCUAAUACCGCAUACGAUCUGUGGAUGAAAGCAGGGGAUCUUCGGACCUUGUGCUAUUGGAAUGGCCGAUAUCUGAUUAGCUAGUUGGUAGGGUAAAAGCCUACCAAGGCGACGAUCAGUAGCUGGUCUGAGAGGACGACCAGCCACACUGGAACUGAGACACGGUCCAGACUCCUACGGGAGGCAGCAGUGGGGAAUUUUGGACAAUGGGGGCAACCCUGAUCCAGCAAUGCCGCGUGAGUGAAGAAGGCCCUCGGGUUGUAAAGCUCUUUUGUCAGGGAAGAAACGGAGUUCUCUAAUAUAGGAUUCUAAUGACGGUACCUGAAGAAUAAGCACCGGCUAACUACGUGCCAGCAGCCGCGGUAAUACGUAGGGUGCAAGCGUUAAUCGGAAUUACUGGGCGUAAAGCGUGCGCAGGCGGUUUUGUAAGUCUGAUGUGAAAUCCCCGGGCUCAACCUGGGAACUGCAUUGGAGACUGCAAGGCUAGAGUGUGUCAGAGGGGGGUAGAAUUCCACGUGUAGCAGUGAAAUGCGUAGAGAUGUGGAGGAAUACCGAUGGCGAAGGCAGCCCCCUGGGAUAACACUGACGCUCAUGCACGAAAGCGUGGGGAGCAAACAGGAUUAGAUACCCUGGUAGUCCACGCCCUAAACGAUGUCUACUAGUUGUCGGGACUUAAUUGUCUUGGUAACGCAGCUAACGCGUGAAGUAGACCGCCUGGGGAGUACGGUCGCA